rnacentral:rRNA from 1 species
GACGAACUGUCCUAACGUUGUUCGGAAUCACUGGGCUUAAAGGGCGCGUAGGCGGUCCGACAAGUCAGGGGUGAAAUCCUGCAGCUUAACUGCAGAAGUGCCUUUGAUACUGUCGGUCUUGAGGGAGAUAGGGGUGUGCGGAACUCACAGUGAAGCGGUGAAAUGCGUUGAUAUUGUGAGGAACGCCGGAGGCGAAAGCGGCGCACUGGAUCUCUUCUGACGCUGAGGCGCGAAAGCUAGGGGAGCAAACGGG